rnacentral:lncRNA from 1 species
AAUGAUUCAAAAUCAUCAUAAGUCCAUGUUGAUGGACUAUUUUUGUCAAACAACCAUUAUGUUCUAAACAUAAUAACAAACUUUCAAGAGUUGUUCAAGGAAACUCUCAUUUCUUCAUACAACAAUUUGUAAGUGAAGAAUCAUGGCACAUAAAGUGUCCAAGCCCUUGUGCUUACUUCUAAAGUUCCUUGUUCAUGUAACAAAGAAACAAGCACUAAUGUUUGCAUUUAACUAAGAGUUGUUCAAAGCAACUCUUAUUUCUUCAUACAACAAAUUGUAAUUGACGAAUUAUGACAUUAAAAGUGUUGUCCUCUUUAUGAUAGACUUUUUCUAACAUAUUCUUCUAAU